GACGAACGCUGGCGGCGUGCCUAAUACAUGCAAGUAGAACGCACAGUUUAUACCGUAGCUUGCUACACCAUAGACUGUGAGUUGCGAACGGGUGAGUAACGCGUAGGUAACCUGCCUGGUAGCGGGGGAUAACUAUUGGAAACGAUAGCUAAUACCGCAUAAUAUUAAUUAUUGCAUGAUAAUUAAUUAAAAGGUGCAAUUGAACCACUACCAGAUGGACCUGCGUUGUAUUAGCUAGUAGGUGAGGUAACGGCUCACCUAGGCGACGAUACAUAGCCGACCUGAGAGGGUGAUCGGCCACACUGGGACUGAGACACGGCCCAGACUCCUACGGGAGGCAGCAGUAGGGAAUCUUCGGCAAUGGACGAAAGUCUGACCGAGCAACGCCGCGUGAGGGAAGAAGGUUUUCGGAUCGUAAAGCUCUGUUGUAAGAGAAGAACGGGUGUGAGAGUGGAAAGUUCACACUGUGACGGUAUCUUACCAGAAAGGGACGGCUAACUACGUG
rnacentral:rRNA from 1 species